rnacentral:rRNA from 1 species
UACGUAGGGUGCAAGCGUUGUCCGGAUUCAUUGGGCGUAAAGAGCUCGUAGGCGGUUCGAUAAGUCGGGUGUGAAACCUCCAGGCUCAACCUGGAGACGCCACCCGAUACUGUCGUGACUAGAGUCCAGUAGGGGAGCGUGGAAUUCCUGGUGUAGCGGUGAAAUGCGCAGAUAUCAGGAGGAACACCAGCGGCGAAGGCGGCGCUCUGGGCUGGAACUGACGCUGAGGAGCGAAAGCGUGGGGAGCGAACAGG